rnacentral:rRNA from 1 species
GAUGAGCGCUGGCGGCGUGCCUAAUACAUGCAAGUCGAGCGAACAGACGAGGAGCUUGCUCCUCUGACGUUAGCGGCGGACGGGUGAGUAAAACGUGGAGAACCUACCUAUAAGACUGGGAUAACUUCGGGAAACCGGAGCUAAUACCGGAUAAUAUAUUGAACCGCAUGGUUCAAUAGUGAAAGACGGUUUUGCUGUCACUUAUAGAUGGAUCCGCGCCGCAUUAGCUAGUUGGUAAGGUAACGGCUUACCAAGGCAACGAUGCGUAGCCGACCUGAGAGGGUGAUCGGCCACACUGGAACUGAGACACGGUCCAGACUCCUACGGGAGGCAGCAGUAGGGAAUCUUCCGCAAUGGGCGAAAGCCUGACGGAGCAACGCCGCGUGAGUGAUGAAGGUCUUCGGAUCGUAAAACUCUGUUAUUAGGGAAGAACAAAUGUGUAAGUAACUAUGCACGUCUUGACGGUACCUACUCAGAAAGCCACGGCUAACUACGUG